CUAGCCUUGGCGGUAGGUAUUCUAAAAUUGGAAUAAUGCAGAGAAGAUUAGUAUGGCUCCUGUAUAAGGAAGCGUCCCAUAUUUUAAAGAAGACGGUGUGCUGGU
rfam:Octopus bimaculoides Scaffold141274_contig_3, whole genome shotgun sequence.